rnacentral:tRNA from 15 species
UGGGGGCUGGUGCAGGGCACGGGCUCCAAAGCUCAUGCCGGCCUGCUGGCGC